CAGCUGGACCAGGUGGAUCAUAAACAUGUAUGAAGCGUGUACCUGUGUCAAAGUGCAGCACAUACAGAAAUGUGCAGGACUGUUGGUCUGCACAGGAUCCAUACUGUGUCUGGUGCGGCUCUAAAAGAAGUUGCACAUUUGAAGACGAAUGCCAAGAUUCAGACUGGUUAUCCAUUCCUGAUGACUCUCAAAAGACAAUGGUUUCAUAAAA